rnacentral:rRNA from 1 species
UAAUACGUAGGGUGCGAGCGUUAAUCGGAAUUACUGGGCGUAAAGCGUGCGCAGGCGGCUUCGAAAGCUAGGUGUGAAAGCCCCGGGCUCAACCUGGGAACUGCAUUUAGGACUGCGAAGCUCGAGUGCGGCAGAGGGAGGUGGAAUUCCACGUGUAGCAGUGAAAUGCGUAGAGAUGUGGAGGAACACCGAUGGCGAAGGCAGCCUCCUGGGCCGACACUGACGCUCAUGCACGAAAGCGUGGGGAGCAAACAGGAUUAGAUACCCUGGUAGUCCACGCCCUAAACGAUGUCGACUGGUUGUUGGGGAAGGCAACUUCCUUAGUAACGAAGCUAACGCGUGAAGUCGACCGCCUGGGGAGUACGGCCGCAAGGUUA